UCCUCAGGAUGACUUCAUUGCAUGUCUUAUGUGUUGUCAGGAGCCAGAACCUGCAAAGGUGAACCCACUGGUAUCUGCUGCAUGAAAUGAGGCGAACCUGUUACUUGUGAACUGUCUGAUAGGAC
ensembl:snoRNA SNORD22 Small nucleolar RNA SNORD22